CAGGAAUCGACUACUACGGCCCCAAUGAGGUUUGCGUUCCAAAUCCUUGUCCCUCGGCCAACAUGACCUGCGUUGAGUUAAAGGGGAAUCCAAGAUACAGAUGUGAGUGUCCACAGGGAUACAUCGGUUCCGCAUGUGAAACAGAUGUUGAUGAGUGUUAUCCUGGACAUUACAAUUGUCACCAGGACGCUACUUGUGCAAACACAAUUGGCUCUUUCGCAUGCACAUGUAAACCUGGGUAUACAGGAAACGGAGUAAGCUGCGAAGG